AAUCAAUCCUUGAAAUUUUUCUAAAGUUGCCUUAUGUAAACUGGCACUUACUGGAUUUUUAAAAGGUAAACUACAGUUUUAAUAUACUAUUUAAAGUUGGAUAUAAUUAAAAGUAUAAUUAGUAUUAUCUAACACAGAUCUCAAAAAAUACAGUAUGUAUGUGCUCCUUUUUUGAAAGUGAAUCUGACUUACCACUUUACUGAUACGCUUCUCUAGUCUUUGCUUUAAGACACUUCAAAAUGGAGCCCCAAGUAUGUUGAAGUGGGAACUGGGGGGACUUUACUCUUGUGGUACUCUUAAAUUGGUAAAGAUUAAACUUGCUCAUGUGGAUACCAUGUAGAGUCAUAACAUGUAACAUAUCUUUACUUUCUGAUUUUAGUAUUUAUGGGACCUGAAGAAUUACUUGUUCUCUGGUGAGACUUUUCAGAUUCAACACAAAAGCAGGGAGAAACUGGUCAUACACCCCGUCACAGACUCCAGCUGAACUAACUUGGACAGGAGUAUCUUCCCUAACAGCUCUGGAAGGAAAUUGACAGAACUUUCAAAAGCCAAAGACUGGCA